AUUGAACGCUGGCGGCAUGCCUUACACAUGCAAGUCGAACGGCAGCACGGGGGCAACCCUGGUGGCGAGUGGCGAACGGGUGAGUAAUGCAUCGGAACGUGCCCAGUAGUGGGGGGAUAACCAGUCGAAAGACUGGCUAAUACCGCAUACGACCUACGGGUGAAAGCGGGGGACCGUAAGGCCUCGCGCUAUUGGAGCGGCCGAUGUCUGAUUAGCUAGUUGGUGAGGUAAAGGCUCACCAAGCCUUCGAUCUGUAGCUGGUCUGAGAGGACGACCAGCCACACUGGGACUGAGACACGGCCCAGACUCCUACGGGUGGCUG
rnacentral:rRNA from 1 species